UGGACUAUAGGAAUUAGGCUCGUGAGAGACGAGGUCUAAUUGACUUGUGAGCGAAAGUAUUUCGAUUGGGUUUAUGAUAACUCUAAAAAGUUAGAGUUUGAUCGGAGUGUAUGGCUUCUAACUUCGCUGAGGGUUACGUUGGCGGCCGACAACGUAACAUCGGGAGUUAGUAGUGAAGGAUACUUCCUUACUUUCGCAUGAUUUGGGUUUUAU
rnacentral:lncRNA from 1 species